CUACGGGUGGCUCCAGUGAGGAAUAUUGCACAAUGGGGGGAACCCUGAUGCAGCAACGCCGCGUGGAGGAUGACGCAUUUCGGUGUGUAAACUCCUUUUAUAUGUCAAGAAAAUGACGGUAGCAUAUGAAUAAGCACCGGCUAACUCCGUGCCAGCAGCCGCGGUAAUACGGAGGGUGCAAGCGUUACUCGGAAUCACUGGGCGUAAAGGACGCGUAGGCGGGUUGGAAAGUCAGGUGUGAAACCCUACAGCUUAACUGUAGUACUGCGCUUGAAACUUCUAAUCUAGAGUAUGGGAGGGGGAGAUGGAAUUAGUGGUGUAGGGGUAAAAUCCGUAGAUAUCACUAGGAAUACCUAAAGCGAAGGCGAUCUCCUGGAACAUUACUGACGCUAAGGCGUGAAAGCGUGGGGAGCAAACAGGAUUAGAUACCCCGGUAGUC
rnacentral:rRNA from 1 species